UGAAGGCUGUGGGGAGGAGGUUGCGGCCGUGGGCACACCUGCGCUCUCGCAGGGCUGCUAUGGGCCCUCUCCUCCGCUUCUACACCUUCGUCGCACCUUCAACUCGAGUCCUUCUGUGAUCCCGUGUGUCCUGGCCGGAGUUUCUUACUGUUCUCUGGAACGUAGCUCUUCACAUCCCCCUCCUCGAGUUCUCUUCCAGGAGUCUGAUACAGAUGGACAAGCUGACCCUGAGGAUGUGUCUGUGCUGUCUGGGGUCGGGUGGCUCCCUGGCCAUCUGCUGAAAACUUGUAUCCUGGCAUUGAUUUUGUUGGACCUGUGAAAGUCAUUUUGUUCAUUUGUUAUUGGCAUUAUUGGCUGCCAUAGACAGACACAAAGUGGCAUUAUCUACACUGAAAAGGAUGGCCUGUGGAGAAAGAGAGAGAGCGUUGGAAUCUUGACUGCACUGUGAUUGGCUCUGGGGACUUGGGUAAGUUACUUAACCUUUCUCAGCUUCUGUUUUAUUAACUGUGUGAUGAAAAAAACCAUGCCCUUGUCAAAAUAUAUUUUGAGCAUUAAAAAUAAAAAUGAUUUAAAGCAAAACAUUCAAC
rnacentral:lncRNA from 1 species